rnacentral:rRNA from 1 species
CUACGGGGUGCAGCAGUGGGGAAUAUUGCACAAUGGAGGAAACUCUGAUGCAGCAACGCCGCGUGGAGGAUGAUACUUUUCGGAGCGUAAACUCCUUUUAUAUAGGAAGAAGAUGACGGUACUAUAUGAAUAAGCGCCGGCUAACUCCGUGCCAGCAGCCGCGGUAAUACGGAGGGCGCAGGCGUUACUCGGAAUCACUGGGCGUAAAGAGCGUGUAGGCGGAUUAAAAAGUCAGAAGUGAAAUCCUAUAGCUUAACUAUAGAACUGCUUCUGAAACUCUUAAUCUAGAAUAUGGGAGAGGUAGAUGGAAUUUCUGGUGUAGGGGUAAAAUCCGUAGAGAUCAGAAGGAAUACCGAUUGCGAAGGCGAUCUACUAGAACAUUAUUGACGCUGAGACGCGAAAGCGUGGGGAGCAAACAGGAUUAGAUACCCGGGUAGUC